rnacentral:ncRNA from 2 species
CUCUUAUCCUGAGAGGUGGAGGGACUGGCCCUAUGAAACCCAGCAACCAUUCGGUUAAGCCCGGACUGGUGCUAAUUCCUGCAGAAGAUAUUCUUCUGGCAGAUAAGAG